CGUACAAGCAGUGGGAGCACAGGUUUACCUGUGUGACUGCGUACCUUUUGUAUAAUGGGUCAGCGACUUAUAUUCUGUAGCAAGGUUAACCGUAUAGGGGAGCCGGAGGGAAACCGAGUCUUAAUUGGGCGUUAAGUUGCAGGGUAUAGACCCGAAACCCGGUGAUCUAGCCAUGGGCAGGUUGAAGGUUGGGUAACACUAACUGGAGGACCGAACCGACUAAUGUUGAAAAAUUAGCGGAUGACCUGUGGCUGGGGGUGAAAGGCCAAUCAAACCGGGAGAUAGCUGGUUCUCCCCGAAAGCUAUUUAGGUAGCGCCUCGUGAAUUCAUCUCCGGGGGUAGAGCACUGUUUCGGCUAGGGGGCCAUCCCGGCUUACCAACCCGAUGCAAACUGCGAAUACCGGAGAAUGUUAUCACGGGAGACACACGGCGGGUGCUAACGUCCGUCGUGAAGAGGGAAACAACCCAGACCGCCAGCUAAGGUCCCAAAGUCAUGGUUAAGUGGGAAACGAUGUGGGAAGGCCCAGACAGCCAGGAUGUUGGCUUAGAAGCAGCCAUCAUUUAAAGAAAGCGUAAUAGCUCACUGGUCGAGUCGGCCUGCGCG
rnacentral:rRNA from 1 species